GGGGGUUUAUACGGUGAGUGGCAGGUUAAACGUUUCACUUACACUACUUUCAUCUCAUCUUUCAGCCUUCCCUCUUGCCUUUCCCUCUUCUCGCGCCCCUCUUCUGGUGUCUUUUGUCAUUUAUCGUCUCUCGCUCAUUGAUUUUCGUUGGCGAAUACGAAUCGAUGUCGGAGCUUAUGUGAUGUUAGCAAGGGAAGUCGCGAAGUCGAUGAGAAAUUCGCCCAACCUAGUGAAAACCCUAAUCCUUUGCUUUUUGGAUGGAUGCCCAUAACUGGUUUGAGCGCCAGCAAUGGAGAAGGAGAUGUGGCAGAUUGAAAACGCAAAGAGAACUAAAGGAGGGGGUUGCAGUUACGGUGAGAUCAACGGUUGCAGUUAUCGCAAAUCCCCGCGUGAGAUUCAGGAGCAGGGCCUUGAAGGACAUUAAAUUCUCCAACUGGUUCGAGGAGCCAAACCUCAGGUUCAUGGAUCACCUUCGUCCUCUCUUCCCUCAUAUGGAUGAUCAGAUCCUCGAGAAAGCCCUCCAAGAAAUUGGUAAUGACCUAGAUGCUACCGGCGUUGAUGAUGCCAGAGCUUGAGCUGGUAAAUUACUAGAGGUUUUAGAGAAAUCUCUUAGUGCACAUGCCACUUCUUGGGGCAACAAUUGCCCUUCAAAGGGAAAAUUUGAUGCUGAAGGAGAAAAUUGAAGCCCUUACUAAGGAGAACAAUUGUUUUAAAAAUGCUUUUAAAAUCCAGCUUGAACGUCUUUCCGAUUACGAUAGUAAAAACCAAGAGUUGCAGCAGUUGAAGCAGUUGGUGUCUCAAUAUCAGAAGCAAAUCUCUAAUGUCCAAGUUUAUUACUCUGCAUCAUUAUUUUUUUUACCAUAGCAUAUCAUGCAUCUAGAUUGAAUUAUAUUUAGAUAAUGCUGCAUAUUUCCUAUUACAUUGUCCCCACUAGCAUUGCAUCUGAACAUGAGCUUAGUGCACUUUGGUUUUGUUGAAUAAGUCUCUGCUGCAUGUUAGAAUAACUUCAAAUGACAUUCUACAGUUUUGCUGUCACAUUUGUACAACCAUAGUCUAAGUCUUUGCUGUUAUAUAAAUUUUGGAUUCAAAUGACAUGUUUUGAAUGAUUUGCAGGUCUGAAUUCAUGUGACUAGUAUGUAGGUGAGUGACAAAUUACUCCACACCACGAUCUUAUAAUUAGCAUGCUUUCUAUUUGUUGUUAACUUAAUUAUUUUUUGGCAAGGCCUUGUAGAGUUGAACUAUAGAAAUGUAGGUGAGUGACGGAAGGAGCCAGAAGAGGAAUUAGAGCUUAAAGUGUUGCGUUUGAGUAACUUGUUUAUAUUCUAUAAGCUAGGAUUAGUUGUUUAUUAAAGGCAUGCAGUAGUGUUUAAUGAAUUUUUGUUAGUAUUGUUUAUUUUUUUCAUGUGUUAGUGUAUUUUAUAAAGUAUAUGAUUAAACUUUUCUUUGAUGCAGUAGUAUAGUGUAUUUCAUGUGUUAGUAUAGAAAUAUAUGCUAGAAUUAUGUGUAUUGUUAUGCUAUUUAAUUUUUCUCUGAUGCAUGAUUCAAUGAGUAAAAUGUGCCCUUUCUUUAAUGUUUAUUGUUGGAGAUGUUUCAUGUCCCUUCAUUCAGUGCGGUAUUCAAUCACUGAAUGACUUUUUUUCAACUUCUGUACUCUUCUUCUCAUUAAGGCUGUAGUUGUGGUUGUAGGUGGAAUGGAUAAAUAAAGAUGCUGCAAAAAGAUAAAAUAAAAUGUUUUUUAUUUUUACCAAUUGUUGCUUAGUGAAAUCACUUUCAUACUGUAAGAGUAGCUAACAUUUUAUGGCAGUGUAAAUCAAUUUUGCUCCUCCUUUCUUUCUUUCUUCUUUCUCCCUUGUAUUUUUGUUUCAUCACUAAGUUUAAAAUGAGGUCAAUUUAAAAUUUCCACUUCCCCAUUUUCCAUCUAGUGAAAAGACGUAACAAAAGUUAUAAUUUUUAGGCUAUCACCUUUUACAUGAAAUGCUUUUUGAGAAGGGAAGACUAUUCUUUUGUAUGUGUUUUGCAUUCAAGUUUCCAUUCUCUCUUUAUUGGGUCCACAGAGUCGGUAGGAGGUUUGGUGGGCUGUAUUUUAUCUAAUAACUGAUAGAUUGUCAGGUCCAUAAAUGAGCUAUAAUCAUAGAAAAUUUCUUCAGGCAAGGAAUAAAUGUACAACAGACACUACUAAUAAUCAAAAGAGUGUAAAUCAUGGAAUCAAUAUAUAAAUACACAAAAACGCAUAAUUUAAAUAACAUCCAAGUGGCACACAUAGGACUCGAACCCAAGUCCUCACACAUAAUAAAGUACUCUCAAUCACUUGAGCUAGUACUUUUUCACGUCAUAGUUUCUCACCUUAAUUGCUUUAAAUAUUCUUAUUACUCGUCAUAAUUAAAUAACUAUUUAAUUUUCUCGGGUCUUACACCUAACACUUCGCCUUGGGGAACACCAAUGUUAUUGGUGAAGAAGAAGGAUGGAAGUUCACGUCUGUGUGUGGACUACCGACAGUUAAACAAAAUGACGAUCAAGAAUAAGUACCCCCUUCCGAGGAUAGACGACUUGAUGGAUCAGUUGCAUGGGUCAUCAAUGUUCUUGACGAUAGAUCUGCGAUCGGGUUAUCAUCAGAUCUUGGUAAAGGCUGAUGAUGUUUAGAAGACGGCCUUCAGGUCCAGGUAUGGCCACUACAGUAUGUGGUUAUGCCUUUUGGGGUGACCAACGCUCCGGCGGUGUUCAUGGACUACAUGAACAGGAUCUUCCGACCUUUCCUAGAUAAGUUUGUCGUAGUCUUCAUAGACGACAUCUUUAUCUAUUCCAGGACUCAGGAGGAACAUGCAGAACACCUGAGGUUGGUGCUUGGUGUUAUGAGAGAGAAGCAAUUGUACGCCAAGUUGUCCAAGUGUGAAUUCUGGAUGGGUGAAGUUCAGUGGACCCAGCGAAGGUCGAAGCAGUGGUAAUGUGGGAAAGCCCUAAGUCUGCCACAGAGAUCAGGAUUUUUGUGGGGUUGGCGGGCUACUAUAGGAGAUUCAUAGAGGGAUUCUCCAAGAUAGUGGCACCCCUAACACUUCUUACUCGGAAGGACCAACCUUUCACUUGGACAGACAAGUGUGAGGAGAGUUUCCAGGAGCUUAAGAGAAGGUUGACCAGCGCGCUAAUACUAGUAAUUCCAGACGUGGGGAAAUCUUUUGAGGUCUAUUGUGAUGCCUCUCACCUUGGGCUCGGCUGUGUGUUAAUGCAAGAGAAGAAGGCAGUAGCAUAUGCUUUGAGACAACUUAAGGUGCAUGAGUGUAACUAUCCCACUCAUGACCUGGAGUUGGCCGCUAUAGUUUUUGCCUUUAAAGAUUUGGAGGCAUUAUCUUUAUGGUGCACAGUUCCGGGUGUUCAACGAUGAUAAGAGCCUCAAGUAUCUAUUCGAUCAAAAGAGCUGAAUAUGAGGCAAAGGAGGUGGAUGGAGUUCCUUAAAGACUAUGACUUCGAAUUGUUGUAUCAUCCAGGGAAGCCAAACGUGGUAGCAGAUGCCCUGAGUAGGAAAAAUGUACAUACGGCACAUCUCAUGAUUAAGGAGGUGGAAUUACUGGAGAAAUUCAGAGACAUGAGGCUACAGGUAGAGUUGGGGUCUGAGGCCAUUAGGUGUAGCACCCUUACUAUAUCUAGUGACUUCUUGGACUCAGUCAGGGAGAGACAGUUAUUGGAUGCCAAUUUGAACAGGGUUAGAGAACAACUUUGAUCAGAUGAAGCCAGAGACUUUGCUUUAGGUGAUGAUGGCAUAUUGAGGUUCCAGGGCAGAGUAUGUAUACCUGAUGAUACAGGGGUAAAACGGUUAAUUCUUGAGGAAGGACAUAAGAGUCGUCUUAACUUAUAUCCGGGCAUGACGAAGAUGUACCAGGACCUCAAAGAAAAUUUCUGGUGGCAGGAUAUGAAGAAAGAAGUAGCACAGUUCGUGUCGGCCUGUCUGACCUGUCAGAAGGCAAAGGUAGAGCAUCAGAGACCCGGUGGAAUUACACAACCUUUAGAGGUACUAGUGUGGAAAUGAGAUAGCAUCUCGAUGGACUUCGUGACCCAUCUACCACUAACUUUUAGGGGGCAUCACACCAUCUGGGUCAUAGUGGACCAACUGACCAAGAGUGCGCAUUUCUUAGCAAUGAACCUGAGGAUGUCUAUGGUUAAAUUGGCUCAGUUGUACAUCAAGGAGAUCGUGAGGUUGCAUGGGGUGCCUUCGAGCAUUGUAUCAGAUAGAGAUCCACGGUUCACAUCACGGUUUUGGCAAACCUUGUAGGGUGCUUUGGGAAGCAAACUCGCGAUGAGUUCAGCCUAUAAUCCUCAGACAGAUGGUCAGUCUGAGAGGAUGACCCAGUCACUCGAGAACUUACUGCGGACAUGUAUACUGGAUCACUUGGGUGCUUGGGAUGAAGUGUUACCGUUGAUUGAGUUCACCUACAACAAUAGUUUCCAUGCAAGCAUUGGGAUGGCACUGUAUGAGGCUCUUUAUGGUCGGAGGUGCAGGACUCCCUUGUGUUGGUAUCAGGAUGGGGAGGCAGUGUUAGUUGGGCCAGAAUUGUUGGAACAGACCACUGAGAAGGUGAGGUUGGUGAGGAAUAGGAUGUAGGCUUCACAGAACAGACAAAAGGCUUUUGCAGACUACAGGAGAAGACCCUUGGAAUUCGAGGCAGGAGAUCACAUGUUCUUGAGGGUGACCCGAACCACUAGUUUGGGAAGGGCUCUCUAUUCAAGAAAGCUUUCUCCUAAGUUCCUUGGUUCCUAUCAAAUCUCGAGGAGGAUUGGGCCGGUGGCUUAUGAGAUAGCCUUGUCCCCUCAGUUGGCCAAUCUUCACCCUGUGUUCCACGUGUCGCAAUUGAGAAAGUAUGUCUUUGAUUCCUCUCAUGUGCUAGAAUCAGAGGAUGUACAGAUCCGGGAGGAUCUUACUGUGGAGGUACCACUAGUGGCUUUAGAGGGUAGCAAAGUUGAGGAACGCCGAGGAAAAACAGUCAGCCUGGUCAAAGUCAUAUGGGAUCGGAGAACAGGUGACUCGACUUGGGAAUUGGAAGAGAAUAUGAGGAAGUCACAUUCGCAUUUGUUUCCCUGGUAAGUUUGUAUUUUCGAGGACGAAAAUUUUGUUUUUGGGGAGAAUGUAAGGCCCAGUUUUCUGCCUUAAUGUUUUAAGGGCUGCCCUUAGCCUAAUGGGCCUAAGAGCUGGCCCAAGGAGUAAAAACAGAUCCCAUCUGCCCUAACGUUACCAUUUCCCUCACUUUCAGAAACAAUGCCUCUUUGCUUGCUUGAGCAGCUACGACGCUCUGCUAGGGUUUUGCCGCCAACAUUCUUCGAGCUAGCUCAAGCCAGAUUUCCACCCACGUAAGUCAACUUCGAACUCGUACGUCACCACUGGGCAAACUUUUACCGUUAGGGUUUGGUAGUAACUCAUGCUUAUUCUUUCUUACCGUUUGUUUCCAGCUCUUUGGCCACCUUAGGACAGUCGUGCUCGCUGUGUUCAUAUUUAGGGUUUUUCCGCUGAGCUCUUUUAGGUAAGGGAAGCUAGACCUUACUGUAUUUCUCGUGGGGUCUGCCUAUUUUACGAGCUCUUGAUGAUUUUAUUGUCUGUGUGAGAAUAUGAGUGUUUGAGAAUGCAUAUUUGAACUAUUUGGAUGUGUGUGGGUGGCUGUUGCACGAGAAAGUAGUGGCAAGUGCUGGUUUUCUCGCCCAAGCGAGCUAGUCUCGCCUGAGCGAGACUAUCAGAGGCUCGCCCAAGACUUUGUCACUCCAAUUGUCGCCUAGGCGACUUGUGUUCUUUUAGAGCAAGGUGUGCCCUCGCCUAGGUGAGAAGGGACUCGCCUGAGCGAGACCUCGCUGAGUCACAUGUUCCCUUGUCGCGCUCUCGCCUAGGCGAGAUUGGAUCCGCCUGAGCGAGAGGGUCCCCUUCGCCUGAGCAAGCCAUGUUAGCUUGGGCGAGGCAGCGGGCAGGUUUUGCUGUUGCUGUUGAGUGGUUCACUGAAGUAUGGUUUGUUAUCUGACCCAAGACUUUACUAGAAGGGUUGCGUGAUGAUGGCAUGAUUAAUAUGUUAUAUUUGAAAUGAAAAUGGCAUGUUGGUUGAUUGGGUAUGAAUUGAAAAGUAUGAGUUGUAUGAAUUGUUGAUUUUACAUGAUAUGCAUGUUAUGAGGAAUUCUUGAUUGGUGGAUGGGACAUGAUUAAAGUAUGGGUAGGGCAUAAUUCCAUGACUCUUGUAGUAAGAGAUCUUGGUGGCGCCUCAUUGGUUAGACGUAAUUUCAUGGACCCUCUUAAGGGGGAGUCCCUGGUGGUGCCUUGACAAAAAGGACGUAAUUCCACGGGGGUCGUGGUGGUGCCUCAGGGCCAGGGCGUAAUUUCACGAAGGCCACGUUGUGGUGCCUCCCGUAAGGGUAUAAUUCGUGAAGGCCUCGCGGUGGCGCCUCAUUGCUAGGACCUAAUUCCACUGCCACGUGGUGGUGCCUCAAUUACAUAUCCGGAUAGUUAAAUCUUAGGGUUUUAUAUGGAUGGGUAUUUCACAUGGGUGUCUGUUAUGUAAGUUUGAAUAUGAAUGGUAUGUUGAGUGCCUGUAUGAUGACUUUUUGCUAGCUUACCCUUUUUUUUGCUUGUGUGUUAUGCGUGGUCUCUUUCUUUGCAAUGAUCAUCAACUUGGUUGAUGUGAGCAGAUGUGAGAACCCCUGGCAGUGGUGAUGGUAAUAGGAAUGCUGCAGCUUGACGGAUUGGACAGGUGUUGGGCCCACUGUGGGGCCUAUUACUGGAGGAUUUUAUUAUUUAUGUUUUCUUGUCCGAACAAGACCUAAUAUCUGUAUCUGUGUUAUUUUCUGUACAUUUCUGGUUGGGCCAUGUGGGGCCCUUUACUUGUAAUCCGGGUAUAUUUGAUGUAUUGUAUACCUUCUUUCCCUAAAUUCCGUACUCUCUGAAUGUUUAUGUAUGUGAUGUUUUAUUAAUUGAGGUUAUUCAGUUUUUGGGA